rnacentral:misc_RNA from 1 species
AGCAGAUCCAAAACAGGGGAAAGAAAAGUUGUAUGAGAUCCAACUAGAGAUCCUAAGUUUAACAGUAGUGAACAAAAGUAUAAUGAAAUGAGUUUGAACCGCUUAGAUCAGGCAAUGUAGAUCAUGAAACUUCAUUACCCAACUAAAAUGUAACAAAUGCUUGACAUCUUUUUGUUCACUUCUAACAAGCAACUUUAAAGUAUUGGCUAUUAAAAGAUGAGAAAUGGCAUCAUAAAAAAGAUGCCAAAUGCCAUGUGCAUGAAGACUGAAAAUCGACAAGGUCAGGAGUGGAAGUUUUGGAUAAGUUGAAAGGUGAUAGAUCACCCUUAAGAAGCUUGAUAGUAAACGAGAAUUGCCAAACCAAAAUGAAAUAGAGAUCCUUACAAACUAGUUUAUGGCAGGCUAAAAAGGUUAGUGAGGCUAAACCAAAUUCCCUAGAGUUAGUGUCACAAAUUUGGUAUACAACCGCCACAGGGCAAUUUGCCUAGUGGUAAAACCACUACCAGAACAGCAUAUGGGGAGAUUUGUCUGUGUCUUCUACGUCCCACGCUGCUGGAGCAAUGUAUGCUUUUCUAACAACCAACUGCUAACCUACUGAUAUAUGUUGCUUGCUAAAAUGAAAAACAAAACAUGGUAUACGAUAGUGAGACAAAUAUGUUCUUUUCCUCCAAACCCUAAAUCUACUUUUAUCUUUUCUUUCUUAUUUGAUUUUCAUGGCAUCUCAAUCUUCAUGUCUUCUUUAUUGCUUCUUCAACCUCUUUCAAUUUUUAAAAUUACUUCUCAGCUACCUCAAACCAUCCUUUUUAUGCAAUGAAAAAAAAAU